GUCCUUGUGGAGUAGUAACGCAACUCACUAUUACAUAUUUGUGGCAACGUCCCAUUGCACAUGAAGUCUUCUGGGAGUGUCGGUGGUUCGAACCCACCCGGGGACG